AAGAUUCUAAUUUAAACUAUUCUCUGUUCUUUCAUGGGGAAGCAGAUUUGGGUACCACCCAAGUAUUGACUCACCCAUCAACAACCGCUAUGUAUUUCGUACAUUACUGCCAGCCACCAUGAAUAUUGUACGGUACCAUAAAUACUUGACCACCUGUAGUACAUAAAAACCCAAUCCACAUCAAAACCCCCUCCCCAUGCUUACAAGCAAGUACAGCAAUCAACCCUCAACUAUCACACAUCAACUGCAACUCCAAAGCCACCCCUCACCCACUAGGAUACCAACAAACCUACCCACCCUUAACAGUACAUAGUACAUAAAGCCAUUUACCGUACAUAGCACAUUACAGUCAAAUCCCUUCUCGUCCCCAUGGAUGACCCCCCUCAGAUAGGGGUCCCUUGACCACCAUCCUCCGUGAAAUCAAUAUCCCGCACAAGAGUGCUACUCUCCUCGCUCCGGGCCCAUAACACUUGGGGGUAGCUAAAGUGAACUGUAUCCGACAUCUGGUUCCUACUUCAGGGUCAUAAAGCCUAAAUAGCCCACACGUUCCCCUUAAAUAAGACAUCACGAUG
rnacentral:lncRNA from 1 species